AUGACGACCCUUUAUGAGUCUUUCCUUAAGGGCCCGGAAACGAUCAUGACCCUGACAAGUGAUCAUGACUACCCGAAGAUCCUGAUGGACAUGAUGAAGCAUAUUCACCUUGAAGGAGAUGCAGUCUACAAAGGCUACCCCUUCAUGCAAAAGGGAGUGGAACUUUGGUAUGUGGAGGUACACCUCCACCGUAUGAAAGGAGUUUGCCCAAAGAAGAUGGGGCAGUACUUUUUCAUCUCACGUGUACCACAAGCAACUUUCUUCGACGCUGUUUGUGAAGCAGCCAUGGAAGCCAUAUGCCAUAUCGGAUAA
rnacentral:rRNA from 1 species